rnacentral:rRNA from 1 species
GCCCUUAGUUUGAUCCUGGCUCAGGACGAACGCUGGCGGCAGGCUUAACACAUGCAAGUCGAACGCUCUCUUCGGAGAGAGNGGCAGACGGGUGAGUAACGCGUGGGAAUCUACCCAGUACUACGGAACAACAGUUAGAAAUGACUGCUAAUACCGUAUACGCCCUCCGGGGGANAGAUUUAUCGGUAUUGGAUGAGCCCGCGUUUGAUUAGCUAGUUGGUGAGGUAAUGGCUCACCAAGGCGACGAUCAAUAGCUGGUCUGAGAGGAUGAUCAGCCACACUGGGACUGAGACACGGCCCAGACUCCUACGGGAGGCAGCAGUGGGGAAUAUUGGACAAUGGGCGAAAGCCUGAUCCAGCCAUGCCGCGUGUGUGAUGAAGGCCCUAGGGUUGUAAAGCACUUUCAACGGUGAAGNUAAUGACGGUAACCGUAGAAGNAGCUCCGGCUAACUUCGUGCCAGCAGCCGCGGUAAUAAGGGCG